GUAGGGCCUACCUCAGAGUCGUGUUGUGAAGAUUGAGACAGGCUCCUUGAUGACAGGCCCAGUGUCUGCCUCAUCAUUGGUCCCACUCUGCCUGGCCUACUGGCCUUCCUCUGUUACAUCUGCUAGAAUAAUCCUCCUUCAUCUAAUUAACCCCCUACACAUUCUUAAGAACAGUGAGUGCU